rnacentral:rRNA from 1 species
CCCUUAGAUGUUCUGGGCUGCACGCGCGCUACACUGAUGCGCUCAACGAGUUUUAACCUUGCCUGGAAAGGUUGGGUAAUCUUUUUAAAACGCAUCGUGAUGGGGAUAGAUUAUUGCAAUUAUUAAUCUUCAACGAGGAAUUCCUAGUAAGCGCGAGUCAUCAGCUCGUGCUGAUUACGUCCCUGCCCUUUGUACACACCGCCCGUUGCUCCUACCGAUUGAGUGAUCCGGUGAAUAAUUCGGACUGCGGCAUUGACCGGUUCCCGAUCGUUGCUGCGGAAAGUUUAGUGAACCUUAUCACUUAGAGGAAGGAGAAGUCGUAACA